CACGUAGGGCGCAAGCGUUGUCCGGAAUUAUUGGGCGUAAAGAGCUCGUAGGCGGUCUGUUACGUCUGCUGUGAAAACCCGGGGCUUAACCCUGGGCUUGCAGUGGAUACGGGCAGACUAGAGGCAGGUAGGGGAGAAUGGAAUUCCCGGUGUAGCGGUGAAAUGCGCAGAUAUCGGGAGGAACACCGGUGGCGAAGUCGGUUCUCUGGGCCUGACCUGACGCUGAGGAGCGAAAGCGUGGGGAGCGAACAGG
rnacentral:rRNA from 1 species